GGGGCCGAUUUUAGAAUGUGCUCUAAGUCUAUUGUGACGAUAUGUCGUCUCUUAAAAGUUAAUGCAUGAGGACAACACCUAUAGAGAUGACCUAAGGGACCUAUAUGCAAUGGGUUCCAUAGACGAAACUAUGGAGACACCAUGUCGUCCCAGGCCAAAAAAAUCUAGUCCCCACAAGUAUGCUUUCUUGUAGUGCAAUAACAGACAUUUUUGUAAAAAAAAUAUAUAUAUAUACCUUCCAGCUCAAGGUGCGGUCGAUCUGACCAGCAACAUAAGAAGCUAAACCAGAAUCAUUAGCCUGCAUUGCAAGAUUAUAACAAAUUAGAAAAGACCGAUAAAACAUAUACGAAAACUCAAGAUUAAUCUUUAAUAUUUGUUGUAUUGACUUACUUCAUCCAUCUUGCCAAGGUCCAAACCCUCAAAGUUCUUCAGUGUCAAAAAUGGUGGUAGAGUAAACCUGUUUUUGAUGUCAGCUUCUCGGCGUCCAAGCCUAGGUGUAUCAACUGUAAGAGCGAUAGCCUUAAAACCAGCUCUUUCGGCUCUUCGCACAAGCUGAGCAACCACGUUCCUGUCCUUGUACACCUGAUAUUAAGGAUCAACAACGUUAACAUGUAUAUUAAGAAAAAAUAAAAGAUGAAAUAGGGGUGAGCACGGUUCAGUUAGGUUUAGUUAUGAAUAAAAAUGAAUCUAUAACCGAUGUUUAGGCCUUUAGAUUUUAAUUGUUGGUCGGUUUUUGAGAAAGAUGGUUAGAUAAAUAAAUUCAAUUAUAUAAAGGACAACUAAUACGCGAUUUUGUAAAAUUUAAAAAAAAAAAAUCGACGUAUAACAUAUUAUUUAUUAAGAAAAAUUAUGUUGGUUUAAAUGUCGAGUCGGUUAAGUUAAUUUGGUUAUUUAUACACCUAUAACCAUAAUUGAAUCAAAAAUCGGUUAUUGAAAAGAUCAUAACCAAACCUGCAUCAUCAAUAUGUUGUUCAACCCUAGAUGAAAUAGUAGUUUUGCUCACAUAAAGCUGGAAGAAACGGAUUCCAGGUCCUGUUGAAGCAACCUCCUCAACACUUGAUGUAGCCCAUGAAGACAAGGUCUAUAAAGUGGACAAAUUAUUAGCAUACAUACUUCUGUGUUGUAAAAUUCAAAGUAGAGUUGCCCAAAUGGUCCUGGGGCGGUCCAAGCCCGGCCUUUAGUCCGGUUGAGCCCAAAAGUUUCAUAAUAUAGUAGUCUUAUUACUUGAUCAAAAUCAGGCUCAAACCCGGUUGUAGAUCGGGUUAGGCCCGAAUGUCCAGUCAAACGGCCAGUACAUAAAAUUGUUUUUUUUUUUUUUUGUCAUGUAACAUACACUUAAUAUUCUGGAUUUAGCAUUAAAUUUUCUAUGAAAACAUGUAUAAUAAAUGUGAUUUUUAAACUAACUAAGCCUAUUUAUGAAAACAUGUAUAAUAAAUGUGAUUCUUAAACUAACUAAGCCUAUUUAAAAAAAAGAUAUUCCUCAUAAGUUAAAUAAUCAAAACAUAAAUUCGAAAUUCUAAAAUAUAGAUGUAUUUAAAAGAAAAAGUUUGGUUGCAACUGAAAAUAUAGUAAUAAUAAUUAAAUAU
rnacentral:lncRNA from 1 species